rnacentral:rRNA from 1 species
GCAGACUAAGGGACGGCCGGCGCGGUAAGACGUAGGGUGCUAGGGUUGUCCGGAAUUACUGGGCGGUAAGGGCUCGUAGGUGGGUUGUCGCGUUGUUCGUGAGAACUAGUGGCGUAACCUCUGGCGUGCGGGCGAUACGGGCAGACUGGAGGACUGCAGGGGAGACUGGAAUUCCUGGUGUAGCGGUGGAAUGCGCAGAUAUCAGGAGGAACACCGGUGGCGAAGGCGGGUCUCUGGGCAGUAACUGACGCUGAGGAGCGAAAGCGUGGGGAGCGAACAGGAUUAGAUACCCGGGUAGUC